ensembl:lncRNA
UUCCAUUUAACCUGCCUUACCACAGCUGCAUCCCCACACAGCUGUUUUCAAUUUUGACAAUUUUUGGUCUCAGUCGGCGUCUCACUGUGCGAUGUGACUGACCAAAAAUAAUUGAUGACCAACAACAACCACAUUUCUCUCAUGGUUGUCAACUUUUUCUCCGGCGGAUUAAGAUUUCACGGUACACAUGGGGACUUUCACUUUAGAAGGGCACAGGAAGUUUUUUGGCUUUAGUGAGUGAUUUCCACACUGCUGCUCCUCCUCGCAGGGAUUGAGCACCGUGUGCAUGUGUGCACGAGAGAGACACGGAGACGACCCUGGACGGGCUCCUCCUGCACGUCUUCCCCCCUGCUGACCAUGUACGACCAACAUCAGGUCAUCCCUGAUUCAGGGUGCUUUGACAGAUUUCUGUGGGUCACUGAAUGGUACCAGAACAAGAAGACCUACACUGUGAUACAGACAGAAAGCUACUGCUCAUCUCCAGUGACCCAGAAACUCAAUGGCAGCAGGAAGCACUUCGGAGACAUGAUCAGCAGGCUGCAGAGGUCUCUGUAUCACUGUUUGCUGCACGAGUGAUAGAGCUGCAGUUGACUCAAGUUAAGAGACAGCGAGAGAGCCGGGAGAGGAAAGGGGCUUUCCGUUGCCCUAGUUUCCAUGGCCAAGUGUGUGUAUGUCUGUCAUUAUGUGUGAAUGGUUAGCUCUUUGAAGAGAACUACAGCCUGAACUGGCUCACUUUCCAAAGACAAGCGGGAGAGAAAAUGUGAUUGAGAGGAGAAUAAGAUACACAAAGAGAAAAAAAAAGACUGAAAAACCCCCAAAAAAAGACGUGUGUUCUCUCACAGGUGGGCUGAAUGCACAUCAUUCUUGUGGAGAUGCAGUCCGACCACAGACUCUCUCACGUUACUUGCAGCACUUAAGUUGCAGUACAAGUCAUCAAGCAUCAAAGAGCGUUCCCAUAACCAGACUAAUGCAGUUACAGUGACUGAUGCCGGUGGGGACGACAGACUGCUGGAGACAAAAGGGUUGGGUUUAAAUCGCUGUGGUGAAUAUUAGGGGUUUUCAAUUCCAUAGAGGUUCACUAAGACCGUAGACUUCAAUUAUCAAUGUAGAAAGAUUAUGUAUCUCCAGUUGUGAUCCGAGACAAGUCUUAUACUAUGAGGUAUGAUGUCCCUUCCGUCUUAUUUAAACAAGAUGCCCAUACCAAAGACAUUGAAUUAGAAUCCUGAUAAAUGGGAAUCUAGGCAGAAUAAAGAAGUCUUUAGAUUGGUUGUACGCUACUGAAGGCCUUUGCUCCAUGUACAGCAUUCUGAGGACAGCAGGUAUCUGUCUGCUCUCCGCCUGCUCAUUCACUUGUAUGGAUAUAAGAGUGCUGAAGGAUACUUAAGGAUACUUCAGGACCCACAACAGAAACAGAAACGUGUUUCUUUUAUUACAGCCCAACAAGCCAUUGUUGCACUAGA